AUUCUUUUAGUAUUAACCAGUACAGCUGACUUCCAAUCAGCCAGUUCCGGUCAAACCCGGAAGAGAAUA
rnacentral:tRNA from 1 species